rnacentral:rRNA from 1 species
GGGGUUGCGGCGGCCUUAACAUGCAGUCGAACGGUAACAGGGAGCUUGCUCCGCUGACGAGUGGCGAACGGGUGAGUAAUACAUCGGAACGUGCCCAGUAAUGGGGGAUAGCUCGGCGAAAGCCGGAUUAAUACCGCAUACGCCCUGAGGGGGAAAGUGGGGGACCGCAAGGCCUCACGUUAUUGGAGCGGCCGAUGGCUGAUUAGCUAGUUGGUAGGGUAAAGGCCUACCAAGGCGACGAUCAGUAGCUGGUCUGAGAGGACGAUCAGCCACACUGGGACUGAGACACGGCCCAGACUCCUACGGGAGGCAGCAGUGGGGAAUUUUGGACAAUGGGGGAAACCCUGAUCCAGCAAUGCCGCGUGUGCGAAGAAGGCCUUCGGGUUGUAAAGCACUUUUGUCAGGGAAGAAAUCCUUUGGGCUAAUACCCUAGGGGGAUGACGGUACCUGAAGAAUAAGCACCGGCUAACUACGUGCCAGCAGCCGCGGUAAUACGUAGGGUGCAAGCGUUAAUCGGAAUUACUGGGCGUAAAGCGUGCGCAGGCGGUUGUGUAAGACAGGUGUGAAAUCCCCGGGCUUAACCUGGGAAUUGCAUUUGUGACUGCACGAC